rnacentral:rRNA from 1 species
AACCUCCGCAAUGUGAGAAAUCGCGACGGGGGGAUCCCAAGUGCCAUUCUUAACGGGAUGGCUUUUCUUAAGUGUAAAAAGCUUUUGGAAUAAGAGCUGGGCAAGACCGGUGCCAGCCGCCGCGGUAAUACCGGCAGCUCUAGUGGUAGCUGUUUUUAUUGGGCCUAAAGCGUCCGUAGCCGGUUUAAUAAGUCUCUGGUGAAAUCCUGUAGCUUAACUGUGGGAAUUGCUGGAGAUACUAUUAGACUUGAGACCGGGAGAGGUUAGAGGUACUCCCAGGGUAGAGGUGAAAUUCUGUAAUCCUGGGAGGACCGCCUGUUGCGAAGGCGUCUAACUGGAACGGUUCUGACGGUGAGGGACGAAAGUUAGGGGCGCGAACCGGAUUAGAUACCCGGGUAGUCCUAACUGUAAACGAUGCGGACUUGGUGUUGGGGUGGCUUUGAGCUGCUCCAGUGCCGAAGGGAAGCUGUUAAGUCCGCCGCCUGGGAAGUACGGUCGCAAGACUGAAACUUAAAGGAAUU